rnacentral:rRNA from 1 species
GAUGAACGCUGGCGGCGUGCCUAAUACAUGCAAGUCGAGCGAACAGACGAGGAGCUUGUGCCUCGCACGUGAGCGGCGGACGUGUGAGAAACACGUGGAACAUCCACCUAUAAGACGGGGAUAACUACGGGAAACCGGAGCAUAUACCGGAUAAUAUACUGAACCGCAGGGUUCAAUAGUGAGAGACGGCGGUGGUGGCUGUAAUAGAUGGAUCUGCGCCGGAUUAGGUAGUAGGGAAGUUAACGGGUUAUCAAGGCAACGAUGCGUAGCCGACCUGAGAGGCUGAUCGCCCGCACUGGAGCUGGGCCGGGGUCCAGGCUCCUGCGGGAGGCAGCAGUAGGGAAUCUUCGGCAAUGGGCGAAAGCCUGACGCAGCAGCGCGAAGCGAGUGAUAGAGGUCUUCGGUUCGUAAAGCUCUCUUAUUGGGGGUAAACAGCUGUGUCAGUAACUAUGCCCUUCUUGACGGUACCUAGUAAGGAAGCCACGGCUAACUACGUG